AGUUUCACUAGCUUUGUGAAAUGCCAAACAAAAUGAAUCAGAUAGAUCCUUUGGUAGGAAAGUAAACUCUCUCUACGUAGCUCAAGAGAAAAAUUAAUUGAGUUAUUGAGAAUAAAUAUCUUUCUGUACCUAAAUCUUUGUGCUUCUAUUUCUUGGUCUAUCAAUGAUGAAGGCUUUCAAUGGAGAAUUUCCUAAGGCAAGGUUCCUCAAUCUCAGCACUUUUGACCUUUUUGACUGGAGAAUUCCUUGUUGUGGGGCCCCUCCUGUACAUUGCAGGAUGUUUAGAGCAUCCCUGGCUUCUAAC
rnacentral:lncRNA from 1 species